UCCAGACUCCUACGGGAGGCAGCAGUGGGGGAUAUUGCACAAUGGGGGGAACCCUGAUGCAGCGACGCCGCGUGGGUGAAGGAGCGUUUCGGCGCGUAAAGCCCUAUCGGCAGGGAAGAAGGAGGACGGUACCUGACUAAGAAGCCCCGGCUAACUACGUGCCAGCAGCCGCGGUAAUACGUAGGGGGCAAGCGUUAUCCGGAUUUACUGGGUGUAAAGGGGUCGCAGACGGCAGCGCAAGCCAGGAGUGAAAGCCCGGGGCCCAACCCCGGGACUGCUCUUGGAACUGCGCGGCUGGAGUGCAGGAGGGGCAGGCGGAAUUCCUGGUGUAGCGGUGAAAUGCGUAGAUAUCAGGAGGAACACCGGUGGCGAAGGCGGCCUGCUGGACUGCGACUGACGUUGAGGCCCGAAAGCGUGGGGAGCAAACAGGAUUAGAUACCCGAGUAGCU
rnacentral:rRNA from 1 species